rnacentral:sRNA from 1 species
GUUAAAUUUACUAUUCCCCUUUUCUUCAAGACAUUUAAAGUACAUGUAUUGUGUAAAGUAUUUUGGGAGUUACUUAUAUGCUUUAUCCAGAAAAAAACCCUGAAUUGAGAUAUUUAACCAUCGUGAUGAACGCUAUUUUUAUUAGUUGGAAUUGUUGACUCACAUUCUUUAGACCGUAAGUACAAUGAUAUGCAUGUGUUCUUUUACUGAUGUACUGUUGAUACAAGAUUUUACACUACUGUAUGUCUCUUGAUAAGUUGUUUAAAACAUUUUGUUAAAAAGAUGAAUGAUAAUGUUUUGAAUAAUGCUAUAUGAUUGUAAAAAUAUGAUGCAUCAAUAUAUUUGAAGCAUUUUCCAUGUUUUGCAAUUUUAUCAAAUGAAUUAAAUUGCAUACAAAACUG